rnacentral:rRNA from 1 species
AAAUUGAAGAGUUUGAUCAUGGCUCAGAUUGAACGCUGGCGGCAGGCCUAACACAUGCAAGUCGAACGGUAGCACAGAGAGCUUGCUCUCGGGUGACGAGUGGCGGACGGGUGAGUAAUGUCUGGGAAACUGCCUGAUGGAGGGGGAUAACUACUGGAAACGGUGGCUAAUACCGCAUAACGUCGCAAGACCAAAGAGGGGGACCUUCGGGCCUCUUGCCAUCAGAUGUGCCCAGAUGGGAUUAGCUUGUUGGUGAGGUAACGGCUCACCAAGGCGACGAUCCCUAGCUGGUCUGAGAGGAUGACCAGCCACACUGGAACUGAGACACGGUCCAGACUCCUACGGGAGGCAGCAGUGGGGAAUAUUGCACAAUGGGCGCAAGCCUGAUGCAGCCAUGCCGCGUGUAUGAAGAAGGCCUUCGGGUUGUAAAGUACUUUCAGCGGGGAGGAAGGUGUUGUGGUUAAUAACCGCAGCAAUUGACGUUACCCGCAGAAGAAGCACCGGCUAACUCCGUGCCAGCAGCCGCGGUAAUACGGAGGGUGCAAGCGUUAAUCGGAAUUACUGGGCGUAAAGCGCACGCAGGCGGUCUGUCAAGUCGGAUGUGAAAUCCCCGGGCUCAACCUGGGAACUGCAUUCGAAACUGGCAGGCUUGAGUCUUGUAGAGGGGG